GACUCCUACGGGAGGCAGCAGUGGGGAAUUUUGGACAAANGGGGCAACCCUGAUCCAGCCAUGCCGCGUGAGUGAAGAAGGCCUUCGGGUUGUAAAGCUCUUUCGGUGAAGACGAAACGGUUAGUGUUAAUAACACUGACUAAUGACGGUACUCACAGAAGAAGCACCGGCUAACUACGUG
rnacentral:rRNA from 1 species